rnacentral:rRNA from 1 species
UACGUAGGUGGCAAGCGUUGUCCGGAAUCAUUGGGCGUAAAGAGCGCGUAGGUGGCUUGCCAGGUCUGAUGUGAAAACUUGGGGCUCAACCCUAAGCCUGCAUCAGAAACCGGCUUGCUAGAGUCUGGGAGAGGAGAGUGGAAUUCCUGGUGUAGCGGUGAAAUGCGUAGAUAUCAGGAGGAACACCGGUAGCGAAGGCGGCUCUCUGGAACAGCACUGACACUGAGGCGCGAAAGCUAGGGGAGCGAACAGGAUUAGAUACC